GAUGAACGCUAGCGGCAGGCCUAACACAUGCAAGUCGAGGGGUAGAGGAAGCUUGCUUCCUUGAGACCGGCGCACGGGUGCGUAACGCGUAUGCAAUCUACCUUUUACAGAGGGAUAGCCCAGAGAAAUUUGGAUUAAUACCUCAUAGUAUAUAUCAUUCGCAUGUUUGGUAUAUUAAAGUUCCAACGGUAAAAGAUGAGCAUGCGUCCCAUUAGUUAGUUGGUAAGGUAACGGCUUACCAAGACAAUGAUGGGUAGGGGUCCUGAGAGGGAGAUCCCCCACACUGGUACUGAGACACGGACCAGACUCCUACGGGAGGCAGCAGUGAGGAAUAUUGGUCAAUGGACGCAAGUCUGAACCAGCCAUGCCGCGUGCAGGAUGACGGUCCUAUGGAUUGUAAACUGCUUUUAUACAGGAAGAAACACUCCCUCGUGAGGGAGCUUGACGGUACUGUAGGAAUAAGGAUCGGCUAACUCCGUGCCAGCCGCCGCCGUAAAAC
rnacentral:rRNA from 1 species